rnacentral:rRNA from 1 species
CCUACGGGAGGCAGCAGUGAGGAAUAUUGGUCAAUGGGCGCGAGCCUGAACCAGCCAAGUAGCGUGAAGGAUGACUGCCCUACGGGUUGUAAACUUCUUUUAUAAAGGAAUAAAGUGAGGCACGUGUGCCUUUUUGUAUGUACUUUAUGAAUAAGGAUCGGCUAACUCCGUGCCAGCAGCCGCGGUAAUACGGAGGAUCCGAGCGUUAUCCGGAUUUAUUGGGUUUAAAGGGAGCGUAGAUGGGUUGUUAAGUCAGUUGUGAAAGUUUGCGGCUCAACCGCAAGAUUGCAAUUGAUACUGGCAGACUUGAGAUCAGAUGCGGUAGGCGGAAUGCGUGGUGUAGCGGUGAAAUGCUUAGAUAUCACGCAGAACUCCGAUUGCGAAGGCAGCCUACUAGACUGCCUCUGACAUUGAUGCUCGAAAGUGUGGGGAUCAAACAGGAUUAGAUACCCUUGUAGUC